AAACGGGGGAAGCCACUGGAAAUGCAUGCAGGAAAUUACAGAAUAAGAUGGAGAAUCUGCAAAACCUUGUGGAAACACUGCAGUCAAAAAACCAAGCAAUGUCAACAAUGAUCAGAUGUCAGGAAAAGAAAAUAGAGCAAGCAAAGGAAAAAGAGAAGAAGCUUUCCAAAUGAAAAUGGGUAUGGUUUUUAAUAACUCAAGAUGUAUCUAGAUACGUCAUUCAGAACCUGGCUGAAUGGAAUGUUGCAUGCCUCCUGUUCUUGUUAAUAAUAAAAGUUGACGUAGUUUUGUAA